rnacentral:rRNA from 1 species
GUCGAGCGCCUCGCAGAGGAGCGGCAGACGGGUGAGUAACGCGUGGGAAUCUACCCAUCUCUACGGAACAACUCCGGGAAACUGGAGCUAAUACCGUAUACGUCCUUCGGGAGAAAGAUUUAUCGGAGAUGGAUGAGCCCGCGUUGGAUUAGCUAGUUGGUGGGGUAAUGGCCUACCAAGGCGACGAUCCAUAGCUGGUCUGAGAGGAUGAUCAGCCACAUUGGGACUGAGACACGGCCCAAACUCCUACGGGAGGCAGCAGUGGGGAAUAUUGGACAAUGGGCGAAAGCCUGAUCCAGCCAUGCCGCGUGAGUGAUGAAGGCCCUAGGGUUGUAAAGCUCUUUCAACGGUGAAGAUAAUGACGGUAACCGUAGAAGAAGCCCCGGCUAACUUCGUGCCAGCAGCCGCGGUAAUACGAAGGGGGCUAGCGUUGUUCGGAAUUACUGGGCGUAAAGCGCACGUAGGCGGAUUGUUAAGUUAGGGGUGAAAUCCCAGGGCUCAACCCUGGAACUGCCUUUAAUACUGGCAAUCUCGAGUCCGAGAGAGGUGAGUGGAAUUCCGAGUGUAGAGGUGAAAUUCGUAGAUAUUCGGAGGAACACCAGUGGCGAAGGCGGCUCACUGGCUCGGUACUGACGCUGAGGUGCGAAAGC